GAUGAACGCUAGCGACAGGCCUAACACAUGCAAGUCGAGGGGCAGCACAUGAGUAGCAAUACGAUGGUGGCGACCGGCGCACGGGUGAGUAACACGUAUGCAACCUACCUUCUACCAGGGGAUAACCCGUUGAAAGACGGACUAAUACCCUAUAAUACAGGGGCUCCGCAUGGAGAUAUUUGUUAAAGAUUCAUCAGUAGAAGAUGGGCAUGCGCAUGAUUAGCUAGUUGGCGGGGUAACGGCCCACCAAGGCAUCGAUCAUUAGGGGUUCUGAGAGGAAGGUCCCUCACACUGGUACUGAGACACGGACCAGACUCCUACGGGAGGCAGCAGUGAGGAAUAUUGGUCAAUGGGCGAGAGCCUGAACCAGCCAAGUCGCGUGAAGGAAGACUGUCCUAUGGAUUGUAAACUUCUUUUGUACGGGAAUAAAGUGGGCUACGUGUAGCCUUUUGUAUGUACCGUACGAAUAAGGAUCGGCUAACUCCGUGCCAGCAGCCGCGGUAA
rnacentral:rRNA from 1 species